GCGCUCCCCACGCCUCCGAAGUAGUGGGGGUUUACAGCCCGUCCGGGUGGUGAGGCAAUAGUGCACGGUUCUUUUUAUUUUUUAAUUUGCCAAGGGUCUCCUUUCCUCGAUCUGCUCUCACGGCUACCACUAGCAAGCUGCCUUUGCGCUUGCCCUGCAGGUCCCCAGCGCGCGCGCAGGCCCCCAGUUUCUCUUGGGGGCACGCGCCGGUUGGGGGAGGAGGGGCAGUGCGAGCUGUCCGCGCACUGCCUCACGGGAGUUGUAGUUCUUUCCUUUGUCUGAGCUCAGCGGAGACCGCCGCCGAGACUACGACUCCCAGCAGCUCCGCGUUCCCCCUUUCCUCAAAAGAAAAAGAUCUACCUCGAGGUAGUUCCCUACAGACACGCCCUAUCCCUAUUAGUUAUGCUGCGCUGUGUGGCCCUGGCAUUAAAUUAAACAAGGAAUGACAUAGUAAGGGGACAAAGUGGUAUCCGUUUAGUGCUGUGCAGUUUACGAAUCGCGUUCUAUCGCCUCAAUCCCUCAGUAAGGUACAGGGGCGUAGUCCUUUUCCGUUUCACACACAAAGAAGAAACUGACUCCCUGAGACACCUCUCCUAAGAGGCCGAGUUCGUGAGCGGUCAAACUAGGGUUCCAAUCUCAUUUCAGAUCCCCUCAGCUGGCAGUUAUUUUAUUAGGUCGGUGCAAAAGUAAUUGCUGUUUUUGCCAUUAAAAAUAAUGGCAUUAAAAGUAAUGGCAAAAACGGCAAUGACUUUUGUACCAAUCUAAUAUCUCUGCUGCUAUAGUAAACUAGGAGGUAGGGAGAACAAGAUUACUGGAAAAUAGAUAAGGAAGUUGUUGAGGGAAGAUGGUCGGCAUUUAACCUAAAUAUAAGAAUGUAUAAGCAUCACAAGAUACCAAGAGCAAUGGUAAUGGGAAUACGGAGGAAAAGGAAAUUGGUUCACCCAAAUUGAAAUAGUCUUCCGUUACUUCUUAGCCGUCUCUCCUAUGGAAAGCUCACCUAAGUUGAGGUCUGGGAAAUGCUGAGAAGUGCUGACCUGUCAGCCACCUAGCUACUCCUCCGUUUCUUGGUUUGGCCUUCUUAGAAUGGCUAUGAUUUUGGGCAAGUACAUUACAACUCUUUCCCUAGUCAGCUUUUUUGUAAGGAAGGUAUGAUAAUAUUUACAUCAUGGCUGUACAGUAACUUAAUAAAUGGCAUUAGGCUGCUUUGAGGUUCACAGAUAAAAGACAUAUUAAGUUCAAAGUAUUACUUUAUUUCCUUUAAAGUGCCAUUUACCAUAAUAAAAUUCAAACUACCAAGGUACAAAAGGAUUGUGGUACCAGUUUCUGAAAAACGUGCCAUAGUUGGGAGUUGCAGUUUUUGCUAACGAUUGUUUCUUUUGUGGAGUCAGCAGGACUCUUGUUCUUUUAAUCACACAAGGCCUGGGCAACAGUCACGUGUCCUGGAGAGAAAUUCAUCUUCCACUACCAUCACCAUUAUUAUCCAUGAUACAUAUUAAACAUUUACUCUCUGCUAAGCAUUAUGGUAGGAGCUGAGGCUACAAGAAUCUAUAUAAUUGUUCACUUCGAGAAGUAACAUCUGAGGAGACAGGAUAUAUGUAAGAAAAGAAAGCCCAUGAUAAAUAGCAAGUGCUGCCAACAACUGUUAAUGAAUUUACAUCUGAGGUGGUCAAUGAAAAAAGCAUCAAGCAGGAGGGACCUGCACUGGGCUUUCAGAAACAAAAUAAACAAGUUGAGAAUAAGAUAGAGGAUAUUUCAAACCCAUAGAUCAGUGGUUCUCAUAUCUCCCUAGGAGUUUGUUUAAAUUAAUAUUCCUGGACACUGCCUCCAGAGAUUCUGAAUCAAUACAUUGGCAUAGGGCCUAGGUACCUGCAUAUUUGAAAUAUCUAUUGACUGUCACAAUUCAAAGUGUGAUUAGGAGGACAACUGUGCUGAUGUCCUCUGGAAGCUUAUUAAGAAAUACAAAAUUUCAUACCCCAGUCCAGUUCUGCUGCAUCAGAACCUACAUUUUAACAAGAUCUAAUGAUGAGUUAUAUUUAAAUUUGUUAAACAGUGUUUUUUAUAAGACAAUUCUUAUUCAGUUCAUUUCUGAGAAACACUACCAAAUCAACAGAGCUUUCAAGACAUGGAAAAAAAGAGUCAACUAACCUUCACUUUUAUCAGCAAGAUCAU
rnacentral:lncRNA from 10 species